rnacentral:rRNA from 1 species
AUAAAUAAUUUAUUUGAAUCAAAAAAAAACAAUGCUUUAGGUGAAUACCUAAGGACUCAAAGAUGAUGAAGGGCGUGUAAACCUGCGAUAAUUUCUAGGAAAUUGGAAAGAAAUAGUGAUCUAGAAGUUCCCGAAUAGAGCAAUCUUUAAAACUACUGAAAAAUUCAUAAAUCAGUAAGAAAUAACUUAGUGAACUGAAACAUCUUAGUAACUAAAGGAAAAAAAAGCAAAUGCGAUUUUCUUAGUAGCGGUGAGCGAAACGGAAUUAGUCUAAACUGAACUAAAAAUUCAGGGUUGUGGGAAGUUUAAAUUAAAAAGAAAGUUUAAGCAGCUAAAAUCUGCACCAAAGAUGGUGAAAGUCCAGUUUUUUUUUCUUAAAAGAACAGUAUCCCAAGUAGCUUGGGACACGUGAAAUCCCUUGUGAAUCAACGAGGACCACCUCGUAAGACUAAAUACUCUUGAGUCACUGAUAGUGAAAAAGUACCGUGAGGGAAAGGUGAAAAAGAACCCCUGUCGGGGAUUGAAAUAGAUUAUAAAACCUAAAGCAGUCAAUCUGUGGGAGAUAAAAAUAUUGACCGCAUGCCUGUUGAAGAAUGAGCCGGCGACUUAGAAUUUUUGGCAGGGUUAAAGAAAUUUUCUGUAGCCAAAGUGAAAACAAGUCUAAAAAGGCGUUGAUAAUGUCAUGAAUUCUAGACCCGAACCCGAGUGAUCUAACCAUGACCAGGAAGAAACUAAGGUAAAACUUAGUGGAUGUCCGAACCGACCGAUGUUACAAAAUCGACGGAUGAGUUGUGGUUAGCGGUGAAAUGCUAAUCGAACUCGGAGCUAGCUGGUUCUCCCCGAAAUGCGUUUAGGCGCAGCAAUUGUCGAAGCACUAUUAAGAGGUAGAGCACUGUUUCGGUACAGGCCAGUUAAACGGUACUAAACUGUCACAAACUCCAAAUGCUUAAUAAAAGUUUGCCGACAAUAAGUGAGACUUUGGGGGAUAAGCUCCAAAGUCAAAAGGGAAACAGCCCAGAUCAUCAGCUAAGGCCCCUAAAUAGUCGCUAAGUGUUUAAGGAAGUUUCAACGCAUAAACAGCCAGAAGGUUCGCUUAGAAGCAGCUAUCCUUAAAAGAGUGCGUAAUAGCUCACUGGUGAAUUUUUAUAGCGUAGAUGCACCGAAAAUGUACGGGACUAAGCGAUUUGCCGAAGCUAUGAGAGACUUUAUAAAAAAUGAGUCUCGGUAGGGGAGCGUUCUGUUUUUAGAUAUGAAGACUAAUUGAAAAAGAGGUUCGAUUAAACAGAAGUGAGAAUGUCGGCUUGAGUAACGUAAACAUUGGUGAGAAUCCAAUGCCCCGAAAACCUAAGGUUUCCUUUACAAGGUUCGUCCAUAGAGGGUUAGUCAGGACCUAAGAUAAGGCUGAAAAGCGUAGUCGAUGGAAAACAGGCAAAUAUUCCUGUACUUAUUUAAAUUUGGUGACAAAUGACGAAGGAGGCAAGAUCUAAAAAAUUAUGAAUGGUUGUAAUAAAAAUGUUCAACAUACGGUUAAAAAAAAAAAAUUUUAACUAUUUAGUGUGAAGACAUGAGCUAACAGUUUCGGUUUUUUUUAGGUUAAGAUUGUUAAAAAGAGUUUUGUCAAACUUCCAAGAAAAGUUUGCGACACCGUAAAAUUUAAAUAACCUGUACCUUAAACCAACACAGGUAGGUGGGUUGAGUAUACUCAGGGGCGCGAGAAAACUCUCUCUAAGGAACUCGGCAAAAUAGCCCCGUAACUUCGGGAGAAGGGGUACCUCUAAAAACAGAGGUCGCAGUGAAAUGAUUCUUUGAACUGUUUAUCAAAAACACAAGUUUCCGCAAAGUCGUAAGACAAUGUAUGGGAGCUGACGCCUGCCCAGUGCCGGAAGGUUAAAGGAAUCGGUUAAAUGCUGAUAACUGAAGCCCCGGUGAACGGCGGCCUUAACUCUGAAGGUCCUAAGGUGAAGAAAAGCUGCCUUAGUAAAACUUAACUAUAUGCUGGAAUAUUCUAAUGAAGAUGUUCUACUUAUUUUUGAAUUUAAAUAUAUACGAAGUCUAGAAUUAAUAGUAAGUAAUAAUGAACAGAAAAUCAGGACAAUCAGCAGGAAAGAUUUUAUCUAAUUUACUCGAUAAAAAAUCCUCAGAGACUAUACGUUAGGGAGAAGAUUUUUAUAUAAUAUUCAAUUUUCUUAAGAUAGAGUCCUUUAUUAAGAGCGAAAUUCCUUGUCACGUAAGUUGUGACCCGCACGAAAGGCGUAAUCAAAAGAGUACUGUCUCGGAGAGAGACUCGGUGAACCUAAAAAGUAACGGAGGUUUACAAAGGUUUCCUCAAACUGGACGGAAAUCAGUUUUUGAGUAUAAAGACAAAAGGAAGCUUGACUGCAAGACUUAUAAGUCGAGCAGAGGCGAAAGCCGGUCUUAUUGAUCCGACGGUAUACCCUGUGGAAGGGCCGUCGCACAAAAGAUAAAAGUUACUCCGGGGAUGGAUAAUUAUAUGGUCUAAACUCAUAAGCAAUUAUGAGUGAGAGCAAUUUACGAUGUCGACUUUUCGCAACCUGGGGCGGUAGUACGUCCCAAGGGUUGGGCUGUUCGCCCAUUAAAGCGGAACACGAGUUGGGUUCAGAACGUCGUGAGACAGUUUGGUCCAUAUCUGCUAUUAGCGAUAGAAUAUUGAGAGGAUUUUUCCAUAAUACGAGAGGACUUGGAAAAACAUACCACUGGUGUACCAGUUCUUACACCUAUAGGAAACGCUGGGUAGCUAUGUAUGGAGAAGAGUACCGCUGAAGGCAUCUAAGUGGGAAGCUCACCUCAAGAUGAAUAUUCUCUAUAAAGACUCCGGUAAGAUCAGCCGGUUGAUAGGUUUCCAGUGUAAGAUUUGCAAAAAUUUUAGCUAAGAAAUACUAAUGAGCGAUUGUUUUUGAUUCAAUAUUU